UGGGCCGGACUGGACCCUUUGGGGGGCUGGACCGUCCCUUUAAUGGGCCGGACCGGACCGGACCCUUUAGGGGGGCUGGACCAGACCCUUUGGGGGGCCGGCUUUUGCCCGUGGUCCACAUGUUUGAGCCCCUGUUUUCAGGGCUUUGGUUUCAGCUGAAGUCAGAUUCAGGAUCUGAAACAGACUUAAAAGUCUUUUAAGUGUCAGAUUAGUUUGUGUUCAGCAGCUGGAGUGUCCAGGUCAUUUCAGUUCAGGGUCACAAACUAAAAGAACACGAUAAUUAACCAUAAAUAAUGACAAACAAACAUUUGUUUUAGUUUUAGUGAAAAAAGUAACAAUCAUAAAAAUGUUUCAAAUGUACGUUUACAAACUAUCCUUUAAUUAAAAAGUGACGAACAUCAGCAACCUGAAUGUUUCGUAUAAAUAAAUAAAUCGGUGGAAUCGUACUAAUAUUCUGCCAAAUCUCAGGUUGUUCAUGUUUUUCUUUUUUUUUGCGAAGGAUAAUUUAUAGAUGUAAACAUUUUCAUCGUGUGACUGAACGUCUUAAACUUUAAAACAUCAUUUAUAGUUUAUUUUUCAUCAUUUGAACUAAAACGACUCCAACACUUUUGUUCGUAUCUUCAGUGUCGGCUCCAGCCGGUUUUGUUUGACCCCCCUCAGUCCAGGUCCAGGUUGUGGGCCGUAUGUUUGACCCCCCUCAGUCCAGGUCCAGGUCCAGAAGCUCCAGCUGAUGCGACUCCAUCGGCUUCGGUGUCUUUUUUUACGCAUGGUGUAAUUACAGACGAAACACAACAUACGACGUUAGUGACUGCGUACAACGUCCGGUUUGCGACAAUCCAACCGAAUCCCAGGGCGAACUCUGCAGGAACCGCCAUCGCUACGUUAGCAUGUCCGUCGUAAAAACCCAAAAAAACGUAAUAAGUCUGCCGACGAACCACCCUCCAGGCACGAGAAGCCGAACCCUGACAUGUCCAUCUACUGUUGAAGGGCUAACCCAUCCGAUCGUAUGUUUACUGUGGUGACCUGUUCUGGGCUAGGGUUAGGCUAACGCUAAGGCUAACUCUAACGCUAAUCCUAACCCUAACGCUAACCUGGGCCCUUGGAUCAAACCUGUAGCAGCAUUGAGCUUUAAAACAUACGGCGAAGUUUUAGGGCCACGUAACAACAAAAAAACAGUCACUACCUGAAAAAAGUCGGAAAAUAUCCAGAUAAAACCUCUAAUUUUAUAAGAAUAAAGUCGGAUACAAAAAGAGUUGUAAUUUUAUGAGAAUAAAGUCGUAAUAUUAUGAGAAGGAAGUCAUAGAUUAAAAAAAAAAAAAAACCCACAUAAUUUAACAUAAACUAAUUUCGUACUUUUAUGAUUAAAGUUGUAAUAUUUUGAAAAUAAAAUUGCAAUAGUGCAAUAAAGAGUCAGAAUUUAACGAAAACAAUAUGUACUUUUGUGAUUAAAGUCAUAAAAAUUGGAUUAGUGCUGUUCAAACUGUCGGUAACAGAUCGGAUAUUAGGUCACAUCUGGGCAAAAAAAAAUCGGAUUUUCAAACUGUCGAAUACAGAUCGCAUAUGGGUAAAAAUAAAAAUCGGAUUAGUGCUGUUCAAACUGUAACAGAUCGGAUACAGAUCCCAUAUGGGCAAAAAAAUCGGAUUAGUGCCGUUGAAACUAUCAGAUCGGAUACAGAUCGCUUGUGGGUAAAAAAAUCAGAUUAGUGCUUUUCAAACUGUAACAGAUCAGAUACAGGUCGCAUUUGGGCGAAACAUCGGAUUUUCAAACUCUAACAGAUGGGAUACAGAUCGCAUAUGGAUAAAAAAAAAAUCGGAUUAGUGCUGUUCAAACUUUCAAACAGAUCAGAUACAGACUGACUUUGGGCCAAAAUGUCGGAUUUUCAGACUGUAACAGAUCGGAUACAGAUCGCAUAUGGGCAAAAAAAUCUGAUUUUUAAAGUGUAACAGAUCGCAUAUGGGUGAAAAAAUCGCACAUGGACACAUUUCCCUUCAGUCUGAACGUAGCCUUUUUAUAUUUGACUUUCUUCUGCUAAACUUCUUGGUUUAAUCUGGACAUUUUCUGACGUUCUCUUCGUAGUUAGCAGUGUUUUUUUGUUUUUUGUUUUUUUUUUCCGCGGCCCUAACGCUCCGUCGUAAACCCCGUCCGACUGGAGGGUUUCCGAAUUCUGGCUCCUCUCAUGUGAUGGCCAAAGUCCCGGUUGCGUUCGUCUCUUUGUUUUCCGAGGCUCGUACUGUAAUUCUAUUGUUACCAAAUGGGUUCAGUGUUUUCCUGUGAUUCUGUUGAUGAUAGACAAACGUGCUCUUUACGAUAAAAAAAAAAAAAAAAAAAAAACCACAAAAACAGUUCGGAUCUUUGGAAUGCCAGUUUUAGAGUUUUCUCUGAAUGUGUCCAUAUGGAAGCCGUAUUAUCGUACGUUCAGUAACUUGAAUGACUCCUGGUUCUGAAUGUUUCUAUCGUAUUCUUUGUAUCGUCACGACUGACUUUACCUGUUUAGAGAUUUAUAUUUUCAUAAAUGUUGUACCGACAUUUUGUUACAGAGUUGUUUAACUGGAAAUUCAACGGAAAAAGAAGAUUAUGUCUGAAGCAAUAUGAAACUAGUGUGUAUGCAUUUGUUUGUAUGAAACAUUUUAACGUAAUAAAAUGGUUCACUUUUUGCCUCCUGA